rnacentral:rRNA from 1 species
UAAAGUAGUAUUAGAGUACUUGAAACUUAAAGAAUUUGGCGGUAUAUUAAUYUUAUUAGAGGAGCCUGUCCYGUAAUCGAUAAUCCMCSUUUAUUUAACCUUAAUUUGUAAUUACAGUUUGUAUAUCGCUGUCGAAAGAUUAUUUCUUGAGAUAUUUUUCUUUAGUAAUUAUUUAUAGAUGACAAGUCAGGGUGCAGCAUAUAUUUAGGUGUGAGAUGGGCUACAAURGUUGAARUUAUACUGAUAUARAUAUGUAAUUGUUUAUUGAGGGUGGAUUUAAUUGUAAUAUAAAUUUAAAUUAUUUUUGUGAAAUAGUACUAAUAUAUGC